CUCUGCAUCUCUGUCCAUCCCAAACAUACAUAAGUUUGACAGGUGCUCUUCAAACAUAUGAUUGUCUUAGAGACUGUUGAAGCACAAUUAAAUUUGGAAGCCUUUGUAUCAUAUGAAUAUGGCUGUAGGCCUACUUGACUGUUGUUUGUGGUGGUGUUUUUAAUAUAUUUCGCAUAUUAAAAAUAAUAUGUGAAGUAUAUUAAUGACAGAAGAGGACAUUGUCGAGUCAUCCUCUUUACUAUUUUGCUCUUUACAUUGUAAAUAGGAAAAAAAAAGAUGAGUACUGACUAGUUCAUUUGGAAUGAAAUAAAUGCACAUUUUUAUCUGAUGUCA